UCCAAGCAAAGAAAAGGAAACCAAAAUCCAGCGUAAAACCCUAAUCUCAAUCGUUCAACCUUCAAACAAACCUGGAAACAAAACCCAACAUUCUUCAAUUCCAUUAUCGUCUAAACCUAGACUUGUGAGAUUUACCUCCUUCUCCUCCAAAUCCAAUCGUAACCUUAGACCCUCAUUCAUCAAUGGAGGCGAAGAACGAGCAAGUUGCAGAGUUUUGGUGUGCGAAGUCUAGUCGAGGUAGCAAUCCAAUCGUCGAAGCGCAUGGCGGUUUCGGCCAAUCCAGUCGUCGAAGAAGAAGAAGAGCACGAAGGUCCCACACAUCAUCCUAUUGCACCGUCACACGAGUCGCCGUGACGCGAAACGAAGACGCUGAGAUCCAAAUCCACACUUCACCAUGAAGUUCAACGUUGCAAAUCCCACCAGUGGAUUCUAGAAGAAGCUGGAAAUAUAUGAUGACAUGAAGCUAUAAUUUCUUCCCCUAUUUCACUUUUUAUGUUGUUUCUAUUCACAAGAUUUGUUAUUCUGUUAACUAAAUUGUGUUGUGAAUUUCAGUCCUGCUUUUUGGGACAAGAGGAUCUCUCAAGAGGUUAAUGGUGAUGCUUUGGGAGAGGAAUUUAAAGGCUAUGUUUUCCAAAUUAUAAUUUCUACUUACUCCAUAUUUCCCCUCGUGUUGGUGUUGGAUGGGGUCCUGGGUUUGGUCCUGAAGUUGUUGGCUAUGUUGGAUCUGGUUGUGGCGUUGGAUUCAAUGUUGGUGUUACUCUUGCUGGCUUUGGAAUUGGGCUUCCAGCUAAUGUUAUCUUUGCCG